GUGUGACACUAUCAUUGUAUGGUUAUAUACAAACUGUCCCCAAGGUGUCGACAGUGUGUGACACUAUCAUUGUAUGGUUAUAUACAAACUGUCAAGGUGUCAACAGUGUGUGACACUAUCAUUGUAUGGUUAUAUACAAACUGUCCUCAAGGUGUCGACAGUGUGUGACACUAUCAUUGUAUGGUUACAUACAAACUGUCCCCAAGGUGUCGACAGUGUGUGACACUAUCAUUGCAUGGUUAUAUACAAACUGUCCUCAAGGUGCCGACAGUGUGUGACACUAUCAUUGUAUGUUAUAUACAAACUGUCCUCAAGGUGUCGACAGUGUGUGACACUUAUCAUUGCAUGGUUAUAUACAAACUGUCAUCAAGGUGUCGACAGUGUGUGACACUUAUCAUUGUAUGGUUACAUACAAACUGUCCUCAAGGUGCCGACAGUGUGUGACACUAUCAUUGUAUGGUUACAUACAAACUGUCCUCAAGGUGUCGACAGUGUGUGACACUAUCAUUGUAUGGUUAUAUACAAACUGUCCUCAAGGUGUCGACAGUGUGUGACACUAUCAUUGCAUGGUUAUAUACAAACUGUCCUCAAGGUGUCGACAGUGUGUGACACUAUCAUUGCAUGGUUAUAUACAAACUGUCCUCAAGGUGUCGACAGUGUGUGACACUAUCAUUGUAUGGUUACAUACAAACUGUCCUCAAGGUGUCGACAGUGUGUGACACUAUCAUUGUAUGGUUACAUACAAACUGUCCUCAAGGUGUCGACAGUGUUUGACACUAUCAUUGUAUGGUUAUAUACAAACUGUCCUCAAGGUGCCGACAGUGUGUGACACUAUCAUUGUAUGGUUACAUACAAACUGUCCUCAAGGUGUCGACAGUGUGUGACACUUAUCAUUGCAUGGUUAUAUACAAACUGUCAUCAAGGUGUCGACAGUGUGUGACACUAUCAUUGUAUGGUUACAUACAAACUGUCCUCAAGGUGUCGACAGUGUGUGACACUAUCAUUGUAUGGUUACAUACAAACUGUCCUCAAGGUGUCGACAGUGUGUGACACUAUCAUUGUAUGGUUACAUACAAACUGUCCUCAAGGUGUCGACAGUGUGUGACACUAUCAUUGUAUGGUUAUAUACAAACUGUCCUCAAGGUGUCGACAGUGUGUGACACUAUCAUUGUAUGGUUAUAUACAAACUGUCCUCAAGGUGUCGACAGUGUGUGACACUAUCAUUGUAUGGUUACAUACAAACUGUCCUCAAGGUGUCGACAGUGUGUGACACUAUCAUUGUAUGGUUACAUACAAACUGUCCUCAAGGUGUCGACAGUGUGUGACACUAUCAUUGUAUGUUAUAUACAAACUGUCCUCAAGGUGUCGACAGUGUGUGACACUAUCAUUGUAUGGUUAUAUACAAACUGUCCUCAAGGUGUCGACAGUGUAUGACACUAUCAUUGUAUGUUAUAUACAAACUGUCCCCAAGGUGUCGACAGUGUGUGACACUAUCAUUGUAUGUUAUAUACAAACUGUCCCCAAGGUGUCGACAGUGUGUGACACUAUCAUUGUAUGUUAUAUACAAACUGUCCUCAAGGUGUCGACAGUGUGUGACACUAUCAUUGUAUGUUAUAUACAAACUGUCCCCAAGGUGUCGACAGUGUGUGACACUAUCAUUGUAUGUUACAUACAAAUUGUCCUCAAGGUGUCGACAGUGUAUGACACUAUCAUUGUAUGGUUACAUACAAACUGUCCUCAAGGUGUCGACAGUGUGCGACACUAUCAUUGUAUGUUAUAUACAAACUGUCCUCAAGGUGUCGACAGUGUGUGACACUAUCAUUGUAUGGUUACAUACAAACUGUCCUCAAGGUGUCGACAGUGUGUGACACUAUCAUUGUAUGUUAUAUACAAACUGUCCUCAAGGUGUCGACAGUGUGUGACACUAUCAUUGUAUGUUAUAUACAAACUGUCCUCAAGGUGUCGACAGUGUGUGACAGUAUCAUUGUAUGGUUACAUACAAACUGUCCUCAAGGUGUCGACAGUGUGUGACAGUAUCAUUGUAUGGUUACAUACAAACUGUCCUCAAGGUGUCCACAGUGUGUGACAGUAUCAUUGUAUGGUUACAUACAAACUGUCCUCAAGGUGCCCACAGUGUGUGAGACUUAUCAUUGUAUGGUUACAUACAAACUGUCCUCAAGGUGUCGACAGUGUGUGACACUUAUCAUUGUAUGUUAUAUACAAACUGUCCUCAAGGUGCCGACAGUGUGUGACACUAUCAUUGUAUGGUUACAUACAAACUGUCCUCAAGGUGUCGACAGUGUGUGACACUAUCAUUGUAUGGUUAUAUACAAACUGUCCUCAAGGUGUCGACAGUGUGUGACACUAUCAUUGUAUGUUACAUACAAACUGUCAAGGUGUCGACAGUGUGUGACACUUAUCAUUGUAUGGUUAUAUAUUGGUCAUUAGGGGGCAAUACUUCUGCAUUACAGGUUGAUUGUAAUAUGAAUGUUCUGGAACUGAAUGCAGCUCAUUUGAUGUUCCCUUGUAUACUUUUCAUAAAUUGUCUUAAAAACAAACAUAUAUCAUUAAUACCUUUUUUAUAAAUCUGAAGUCCAGUAAAGUAAUCAGAUGUCAAGUUAAAUAAUCUUAACUCCAGUUAAAUGUUCUUAACUCUAGUUAAAUGUUCUUAACUCCAGUUAAAUGUUCUUAACUCUAGUUAAAUAUUCAGCCUUUUGUAUUGUACAGCAAUGUCAUAAUUAUUGUAGUCGAGUUAAAAGUACAGGAUAAACCUGCCGAGUUUGAUUGAAAAAUCAAAUACUGAAAUAAAGAAAGGGCAAUACAAAUUACUUCAUUUAAAAUAUUCUAAAUGGAAACAUCUACAUAUGAUUAUAAAGCAUACAAGGUUUCAAAGAGAGCUAUUGAAAAAGUGUAGGAGAUCUGCAGACAUACAGAAGUUUAUACCAGACGGAUGUAUGUGCCAUACCAUAAAAAUCUCUUAACAUUUUGAUGGGUGCAUAAGAACACAGGACAGGGACCUCAAAAAUACAAAGGCAAAAAUCGCAGCAGGAAAUCUUUAAUCAUGUCUUUCUUAAAACGUUCUAACACAGUGGCGUAAUAUCUUAAAAUAUCUUUUCUAUUACAAUGGCACUCUAUAAAGUAUUUGUCCCACUGAGCCUCAAUGAUUCUCUAUAAAGUCUUUGUCCCACUGAGCCUCAAUGAUACUCUAUAAAGUAUUUAUCCCACUGAGCCUCAAUGAUUCUCUAUAAAGUCUUUGUCCCACUGAGCCUCAAUGAUUCUCUAUAAAAUCUUUGUCCCACUGAGCCUCAAUGAUACUCUAUAAAGUCUUUGUCUCACUGAGCCUCAAUGAUACUCUAUAAAGUAUUUGUCUCACUGAGCCUCAAUGAUUCUCUAUAAAGUCUUUGUCCCACUGAGCCUCAAUGAUUCUCUAUAAAGUCUUUGUCCCACUGAGCCUCAAUGAUUCUCUAUAAAGUCUUUGUCUCACUGAGCCUCAAUGAUUCUCUAUAAAGUCUUUGUCUCACUGCGCCUCAAUGAUUCUCUAUAAAGUCUUUGUCUCACUGCGCCUCAAUGAUUCUCUAUAAAGUCUUUGUCCCACUGAGCCUCAAUGAUUCUCUAUAAAAUCUUUGUCCCACUGAGCCUCAAUGAUACUCUAUAAAGUCUUUGUCUCACUGAGCCUCAAUGAUACUCUAUAAAGUAUUUGUCUCACUGAGCCUCAAUGAUUCUCUAUAAAGUCUUUGUCCCACUGAGCCUCAAUGAUUCUCUAUAAAGUCUUUGUCUCACUGAGCCUCAAUGAUUCUCUAUAAAGUCUUUGUCUCACUGCGCCUCAAUGAUUCUCUAUAAAGUCUUUGUAUCACUGCGCCUCAAUGAUUCUCUAUAAAGUCUUUGUCUCACUGAGCCUAAAUGAUUCUCUAUAAAAUCUUUGUCUCACUGCGACUCAAUGAUUCUCUAUAAAAUCUUUGUCCCACUGAGCCUCAAUGAUACUCUAUAAAAUCUUUGUCCCACUGAGCCUCAAUGAUACUCUAUAAAAUCUUUGUCUCACUGAGCCUCAAUGAUUCUCUAUAAAGUCUUUGUCUCACUGAGCCUCAAUGAUUCUCUAUAAAAUCUUUGUCCCACUGAGCCUCAAUGAUACUCUAUAAAGUAUUUGUCUCACUGAGCCUCAAUGAUUCUCUAUAAAGUCUUUGUCUCACUGCGCCUCAAUGAUUCUCUAUAAAAUAUUUGUCCCACUGCGCCUCAAUGAUUCUCUAUAAAGUCUUUGUCUCACUGAGCCUCAAUGAUACUCUAUAAAGUCUUUGUCCCUCUGCGCCUCAAUGAUUCUCUAUAAGGUCUUUGUCCCACUGAGCCUCAAGUCAAUGAUACUCUAUAAAGUCUUUGUCUCACUGAGCCUCAAUGAUACUCUAUAAAGUCUUUGUCCCACUGCGCCUCAAUGAUUCUCUACAAAGUCUUUGUCUCACUGAGCCUCAAGGAAGAUAGAUGCUAUACUGUCUAACACUGUUAACAGUAACAGAAAAGCUGGCAUCACUUUAUUCCAUAACAACUUGUAUCAUGCUAUAGUAACUAUUACAAUCAUCUGUAUACAUAGCAACCACUGACAUCAGAGUAACUGUUUAUACAAUCACUUGUAUCUAAAGCAACCGACGACUAUUCAAUCACUUAUCAACUUACAACAAUAGAAUCUCUUCAAUACAAUCACUUGUACCCAUAGUAACGUACGACACCAUAGUAACUGUUUAUACAAUCACUAGUAUCCAUAGUAACGUACGACACCAUAGUAACUGUUUAUACAAUCACUUGUACCCAUAGUAACGUACGACACCAUAGUAACUGUUUUAUACAAUCACUUGUAUCCAUAGUAACGUACGACACCAUAGUAACUGUUUUAUACAAACACUUGUACCCAUAGCAACAUACGACACCGUAAUACGUGUUGACACAAUAAUUUGAAUCCAUAGUAACCUACUAUUCAAUCACUAGUAUCCAUAGUAACGUAUGA